rnacentral:rRNA from 1 species
CCUACGGGCGGCAGCAGUGGGGAAUAUUGCACAAUGGGGGAAACCCUGAUGCAGCGACGCCGCGUGAGUGAAGAAGUAAUUCGUUACGUAAACCUCUGUCAGCAGGGAAGAACGGUCACUGUGCUAAUCAGCAGUGAAUUGACGGUACCUGCAAAGGAAGCACCGGCUAACUCCGUGCCAGCAGCCGCGGUAAUACGGAGGGUGCGGGCGUUAAUCGGAAUUACUGGGCGUAAAGCGCUCGUAGGCGGUAUGUCAAGUCAAGGGUGAAAUCCCCGCGCUCAACGUGGGAACUGCCUUUGAAACUGGCAAACUGGAGUGUGUGAGAGGAAAGUGGAAUUCCAGGUGUAGGAGUGAAAUCCGUAGAUAUCUGGAGGAACAUCAGUGGCGAAGGCGACUAUCUGGCACAUAACUGACGCUGAGGAGCGAAAGCGUGGGUAGCAAACAGGAUUAGAUACCCGAGUAGUC